rnacentral:lncRNA from 13 species
UGAGGAUAGUAGACCUGGGGCAUGUUCAUUACGCACCAAACUGAAGAAAAUGGACUGAAUCAGAGAAUCAGGGACCGCUUGGAUGUGUCAAAUAAGAAAUGCUUAUUUUUGUUUUCCUUUGUGAAACAUUUACGUUGAAAAACAAACCUGGUAUUUUCACAAUGAUCAUGGCGAUUCUGACCACGGGAAAAAAGGUGUCUCUAAUGUUCCUGAGCGGUGUCUGAUGACAAAAGAGGUGAUCUUCAUUCAGUCGGGCAGAAGCACCUUCUUGUGGAUAUGUGAGUAUAGUGUGUCGGUGUGUGUGUGUGUGCAUGUGUGGGUGUGUGAAUGCUGAUUAAUACACCUCCCUCCAGCUCAGUCGGAAUUGGCUUAGUAUUUCCUGGAGCAAGCUCCAAAGAAGAUUGAAAUACACCUCCUCUCAUUCUGUGCUUUCUUCACAUCCACCUCUUCUCUCCCUCCUUUAUCUUCCCUGCACCAGUGAACAGAAUAG